AUCUUCGGAUGUGAGUAAAGUGGCGGACGGGUGAGUAAUACAUAGGAAUCUACCCAAUGGCGGGGGACAGCUCGAGGAAACUCGAAUUAAUACCGCAUAAUCUCUACGGAGUAAAGAGGGCUUCGGCUCUCACCAUCGGAUAAGCCUAUGCAAGAUUAGCUUGUUGGUAAGGUAAUGGCUUACCAAGGCUACGAUCUUUAGCUGGUUUGAGAGGAUGACCAGCCACAUCGGGACUGAGACACGGCCCGGACUUCUACGGAAGGCAGCAGUAGGGAAUAUUGGACAAUGAGCGAAAGCUUGAUCCAGCUAUGCCGCGUGUGCGAUGACGGCCCUCGGGUUGUAAAGCACUUUAGGUAACGAGGAAAAGUUAAGUGUUAAUACCACUUAACCAUGACGUUAAUUACAGAAUAAGCACCGGCUAAAUCCGUGCCAGCAGCCGCGGUAAUACGGAUGGUGCAAGCGUUAAUCGGAAUUACUGGGCGUAAAGCGCGCGUAGGUGGCAUACUAAGUUAGAUGUGAAAUCCCGGGGCUUAACCUCGGAACUGCAUCUAAAACUGGUAAGCUAGAGUACUAGAGAGGAAAGUAGAAUUCUUAGUGUAGCGGUGGAAUGCGUAGAUAUUAAGAGGAAUACCAAUGGCGAAGGCAACUU
rnacentral:rRNA from 1 species